rnacentral:rRNA from 1 species
UGGGAACCUUCCCUAUGGUUCGGAAUAGCUCAGGGAAACUUGGGGUAAUACCGGAUAAGCCCUUCGGGGGAAAGAUUUAUCGCCAUUGGAUGGGCCCGCGUCGGAUUAGCUAGUUGGUGAGGUAACGGCUCGCCAAGGCAACGAUGCGUAGCCGACCUGAGAGGGUGAUCGGCCACGUUGGAACUGAGACACGGUCCAGACUCCUACGGGAGGCAG